UCCCUGGCAACGGAGGACACUUCAGGGUGUGGCGCCCGUGGCAGCAGCUGUGCUUUGAAGUUUUCACAGGCCCCUCAACACAAUGCUUUGCAAGCAGGAUUCGCCCUCCUGAUCCCCACAAAAAUAGGCCACAUGUGGCAACCCAAGAGACCAAGGUCGGAUGUCCAUUCAAAACCACAGGAGUCUCCACCACAAUGCAGAAUUUCUAUAGUGUCUUCCAAGCCACCAUGCCAAAUUUUGGACACUCCACCACGAUGGCAACCACACUCCCCUCAUCUGGAUGAUCCCUUAAUGAUGUGUUCGUUCGGAGUUCGGUAGUCCUGAAACAACUAACGAGCCCAGCACCCCUCUGACACACCAGAAAGACAGUGAAAUGGAGGAGACAAUUGUUUUACAAUUGCAGCCAAUAAGUCAAGCAGCCACACCUACACCACCUGUGAGUACACCUCAACUGCAACACACACCACCAGCACAACAGAGCCCAACAACACCAGUUGCGCAAGGGCCAGAUCAAGUGUUUUGGGACAAUUGGGCUACACAGCAGGCCACUAAUCAGGAUUGCCUGCGUAGACAGACACAAAUUUUAUCUAGUCUGCCAUCUCACCUCAAAAGAAUAAGCUGCAAUAUCAGCUGCCAAAAUGAGCAAACAACGCGCAUGGCAAACACCAUGGAAAUAAUGCAAGCAGACAUGACACAUGUAAUGGGCAACUUAUAAUGCCUAAUGGAUGAACAUCACAGACAACAACAAAGCUACCUAAACAUUUUAGAAACUAAUCAAAUGCUCAUUGAAUCAAUAACCCGCAUUAUGGAGAACCACACUGCAGCAACACGUGAACUAAAUGCAACACUCACUAACCUCAAUCAAACACAGUUCCCAACAGCAACACCAACCAAGCAUCAGUUCUGGUACGACAACUCCACUUGUAUCGCCAAUGGCCUCACAACCAAGGCGCUCCACCAGAACACGGGCACACGAUAGUGGAAAAGGAAAAUCUGCAUCCAAACAGGCUGCAUGAAAAAAAUAAAUGUCAGGUGUUGUUGUUCCUGUUUGGAGAAAAAAAACAAAAAACGAGCAACUAAGUGUAUGAUGGACACUAUAGAUUGCCCUGU